rnacentral:lncRNA from 1 species
AACUAUGGCCAUGAUGACGUCAUACACCCAUCGUUAACAUUGAAAGGCUCUGAGAUUUACACCUACGUCGACAUCGACGGACUGGGCCUCGAUGUAGUAGUCAGUUCCUGUUUCAGGCUGAAUAGGUGGACUGGGGUUGCUCAGGAACAGGGGGACUGGCCUCCAGCAGAGAACCAUUUACAUGGUCAUAAUCCACAAAUCCUCCCAUCAGGAGGAGGGUCUGGGUGUCAGGGCCCAGUAGGGAUGGGCGGGAGGGGGGGCAGGAGGUGGAGUGGAGGGUGGGCAGGAGGUGGAGUGGAGGAGUGUGGGUGGGAGCUGGAGGGAGGGAUGUGCAGAAGGUGGGAGUGGAGGGGUGGGUGAGAGGUGGGAGUGGAGGGUGUGCAGAAGGUGGAGUGGAAGGCGGGUGAGGUGGAGUGGAGGGAGUGCAGAAGGUGGAUUGGAGGGGCGGGUGGGAGGUAGAUUGGAGGAGUGGGGAGGGUGGAGUGGAGGGAUAUGCAGAAGGUGGAGUGGAGGAGUGGUGAAGGGAGGUAGAGUGGAGGAGUGGGUGGAGAGGGGAGUGGAGGGAUGUGCGAAAGAAGGUGGAAGUGGAAAGGCGGGGUGAGAGGUGGAGUGAGGAGGGAUGUGCAAGAAGGUGGAUUGGAGGGGCGGUGGGAGGUGGAGUGGAGGGUGUGCAGGGGGUGUGUGUGUCAGGUUCAGGUGCAAGUGUGGUCUCUGAUCUGUGGUAGGAGGCUGGUUGCCCUGUGGUGGGUUGGUGGGGAAUCUAGGGUGAGAGGGUUGUUUGGUUUGCUCUUUAGUGUGUGUGAGGUGAUCUCUAUCGUGUGUUGGAUGCUGGGUGGUUUGUGUAGUGGGGUAUCUGGUCUGAUCCUUAGUGUGUGUGGAGAGAUCUUUAUUCCUGUGUGGUAGGCUGGAGGGGGUAGUCUGUGUGCUGUGUAGAAGAGUCUAUGUGAUUGCAGUGCGGUCUCCUACAGUCUCUCCUGCUGGGCUGGUCUGGCUCCUGGUCUGGCUCCCGUUCGGGGUUGUAACAGUCACCUGUCCCUCCACCCCAGGCCCCACCAGGGAGCCUCAAUGGCUCCAGGGCUGCCAGGGCUGGUUGAAUCGGGGUCUUCAUGUGGGUACACCUCCUGGGCCCGAGCCUUCCUCUUCUGUCCGACGUACACCCCACAAAGUCUUCUACCUUCGGUCUGUGAGGAGGUUUGUGUGUCUUUGGUGUAAGUGUGGUGUGUUGUGAGAUGGAGUAGUGUGUGCGACGCUCUCCGCCCCUCCAAUCUCUGUCUCGUCCGUGACCACACCUGGUUGGCAUCUGAGGCUGGGUGGGCGGGUCCGGAUCAUCUGCUGAGCCCUCCUGGGUUAUGGCCGCUUGACCACUCCAUGUCCUCAUAGGGGAAGAUGCCAUCGGGAAGUAUCGGGGAACCCGGGUAUGAGGCUGGACUGGGGAAGAGACUGGAAGAGACUGAGAAAGAGACUGGGAAAGACUGGGAAGGAAGGCCUGGAGAAGGACUGGGAAAGAGACUGCGGAAGAGACUGGGGAAGGACUGGGGAAGAGACUGGGGAAGAGACUGGGUAGAGACUGGGGAAGAGCCUGAGGAAGAGACUGGGUAGAGACUGGGGUGGACUGGGGUAGAGACUGGGUUAGAGACUGGGGGAAGGAUGACGGGGAAGA